rnacentral:rRNA from 1 species
UGGGGAAUAUUGGACAAUGGGCGGAAGCCUGAUCCAGCCAUGCCGCGUGUGUGAAGAAGGCCUUUUGGUUGUAAAGCACUUUAAGCAAGGAGGAGGCUACUUGGAUUAAUACUCUAGGAUAGUGGACGUUACUCGCAGAAUAAGCACCGGCUAACUCUGUGCCAGCAGCCGCGGUAAUACAGAGGGUGCGAGCGUUAAUCGGAUUUACUGGGCGUAAAGCGUGCGUAGGCGGCUUCUUAAGUCGGAUGUGAAAUCCCUGAGCUUAACUUAGGAAUUGCAUUCGAUACUGGGAAGCUAGAGUAUGGGAGAGGAUGGUAGAAUUCCAGGUGUAGCGGUGAAAUGCGUAGAGAUCUGGAGGAAUACCGAUGGCGAAGGCAGCCAUCUGGCCUAAUACUGACGCUGAGGUACGAAAGCAUGGGGAGCAAACAGG